CUCCCUCCUGGCCGCCGCCGCCGCUCCUCCUCUUCCUCCUCUCUCCCGUAGCAGAUCCACCUCCCCUUCCUUUUAUUCAUCCUCCACGCGACCAUCGACGAUGCGUGGUUCUAGAUCGGACGUCUCCAUGGAGAGCAGGGAUGAAGAAGCAGUACAGGCCUGCGGUGGGGCGACCCGAACCGAGGAGAACUCGGCGACAGGGAAAAGAAGCAGCAGUGGCAGCGCUUGUCUCGGUGGGGGUGGAGCUGCUCGGAAGAUGGAAGGGGACUGUCGACUUGCGGGACGAGCAGGCCGGCCCUUGUUCGCCCUAGAGACACUUCCGACGCCGCAAGCCAGGGCAGCUCGACCACAGAAGCCCGCAGGAGCAGUAAACCAUGGAGGAUUUGGAGGCUGCUCACGUUUGUAACAGUAAACCAUGGAGAAUAUGGGGGAUGCACGACCUUAGAGCAGCAAACCAUGUCAGGCAAGGAAGGAAGAUGCAUGAAGUUCCUGUUUUCUUGGGUGACCUCAGUUUCCUAAUGAUAUCUUCAUAGCAUACAGAUGGUUGCCAAUUAGCUUAUAUCAGUUUCCUAAUAAUAUCUUCAUAGCAUACUUUUUUGGGAUAAUGGUGACCAAAACGCCCCGGUUUCUCUAAUUUGUAGGAAUGAAAAUCUUGAAUUGCUUUUGAUGGAUUUCUCACUCAUCAAAAUAAAGCCACCAGCCUUCACAUAGAGGUUGAUUAAUCACUUUGGCCAGUCGUUCUGUUUUUCUAUGUUGCGGAAUAGGAAUGUCGUAUGAUCAUUUAUUUCCUCUGCGUCAUUUUAAGUUCUACAUCUUAUCU